rnacentral:lncRNA from 1 species
GAUGGACAGACGAAUGCGUGGGAGAACCGAUGCCGAGUGUUAAGAAGGCCAAAGACUCUGCUGCAGUUCUUCUCUUGGAACUAUUAAAUAAACGGUACUCAUGAUAUCAAUAAUGGAGGCAUCAUUUGCGGAGUUCAAGUAUCUACCUUUCCUUGGAUAAUCCCGCGCAAAAAUUGUGCUGUUCUUGGAACUUUACCUUCUACCGUAUAUUUUCAACAUCAAUAUAGCUGUUUCUUUCGACGCAGUCGAGUAGAAGUGCUCAAACUUGCGAGACCAAUAACACAGUUGGCACUCUGUGUUUUUGGCCUGCCAAUAAUAGUGAGUUGGUGUCAAGUGUGUAUAACGAUUGAUUGCAGUUUAUACUCAUUUGCUUUUGGAACAGCUCCAUCAAGUUCAUUGUCCCUGAAGACUGCUAUAAAUGCUUGAGCAGUGGCUGUUUUUGAAUGGAUUGGUUGCUGAAAUGGCAAUUUAAAAACAUGUCCUCCCACCAUCCAUAAAGAAACCUGAAAGUUCAAUAAUGGAGGCAUCAUUUGCGGAGUUCAAGUAUCUACCUUUCCUUGGAUAAUCCCGCGCAAAAAUUGUGCUGUUCUUGGAACUUUACCUUCUACCGUAUAUUUUCAACAUCAAUAUAGCUGUUUCUUUUCGACGCAGUCGAGUAGAAGUGCUCAAACUUGCGAGACCAAUAACACAGUUGGCACUCUGUGUUUUUGGCCUGCCAAUAAUAGUGAGUUGGUGUCAAGUGUGUAUAACGAUUGAUUGCAGUUUAUACUCAUUUGCUUUUGGAACAGCUCCAUCAAGUUCAUUGUCCCUGAAGACUGCCAUAAAUGCUUGAGCAAUGGCUGUUUUUUGAAUGGAUUGGUUGCUGAAAUGGCAAUUUAAAAACAUGUCCUCCCACCAUCCAUAAAGAAACCUGAAAGUUCAAUAAUGGAGGCAUCAUUUGCGGAGUUCAAGUAUCUACCUUUCCUUGGAUAAUCCCGCGCAAAAAUUGUGCUGUUCUUGGAACUUUACCUUCUACCGUAUAUUUUCAACAUCAAUAUAGCUGUUUCUUUCGACGCAGUCGAGUAGAAGUGCUCAAACUUGCGAGACCAAUAACACAGUUGGCACUCUGUGUUUUUGGCCUGCCAAUAAUAGUGAGUUGGUGUCAAGUGUGUAUAACGAUUGAUUGCAGUUUAUACUCAUUUGCUUUUGGAACAGCUCCAUCAAGUUCAUUGUCCCUGAAGACUGCCAUAAAUGCUUGAGCAAUGGCUGUUUUUUGAAUGGAUUGGUUGCUGAAAUGGCAAUUUAAAAACAUGUCCUCCCACCAUCCAUAAAGAAACCUGAAAGUUCAAUAAUGGAGGCAUCAUUUGCGGAGUUCAAGUAUCUACCUUUCCUUGGAUAAUCCCGCGCAAAAAUUGUGCUGUUCUUGGAACUUUACCUUCUACCGUAUAUUUUCAACAUCAAUAUAGCUGUUUCUUUCGACGCAGUCGAGUAGAAGUGCUCAAACUUGCGAGACCAAUAACACAGUUGGCACU